rfam:Triticum aestivum genome assembly, contig: Triticum_aestivum_CS42_TGACv1_scaffold_114570_2AS
GAGUUACUCCCUCCGUUCCGAAUUACUUGUCGUAGGUAUGGAUGUAUCUAGAUGUAUUUUAGUUCUAGAUACAUCCAUUUCUGCGACGAGUAAUUUGGAAUAGAGGGACUAGUUA